GAUGAACGCUGGCGGCGUGCCUAAUACAUGCAAGUCGAGCGAACGGACGAGAAGCUUGCUUCUCUGAUGUUAGCGGCUGACGGGUGAGUAACACGUGGAUAACCUACCUAUAAGACUUGGAUAACUUCGGGAAACCGGAUCUAAUACCGCAUAAUAUUUUGAACCGCAUGAUUCAAAAGUUAAAGACGGUCUGGCCGUCACUUAUAGACGGAUCCGCGCUGCAUUGUCUACUUGGUAAGGGAACGGCUUAACAAGGCAACGAUGCGGAACCGACCUGAGAGGGGGAUCAGCCCCACUGGAACUGAGGCACGGCCCCAACCCCUACGGGGAGCAACAGUUGGGGAUUUUCGACAAUGGGCGGAAACCUGAACCAGGCAAACCGGGGGGGUGAAGGAAGGUUUUGGGUUUUAAAACCCUUUUUUUUAGGAAAAAAAAUAUGAGGAUAAAACCGCGCUCAUCUGACGGUGCCCAAACAAUAAGCACCGGCUAACUUCGUG
rnacentral:rRNA from 1 species